GGGUGAGUAACGCGUGAGCAACCUGCCUAUGACAGUGGGAUAGCCUCGGGAAACCGGGAUUAAUACCGCAUAAAAUCGUAGAAACACACGUUUUAACGGUCAAAGAUUUAUCGGUCAUAGAUGGGCUCGCGGCUUAUCAGCUUGUUGGUGGGGUAGUGGCUUACCAAGGCUUUGACGGGUAGCCGGCCUGAGAGGGUGACCGGCCACAUUGGGACUGAGAUACGGCCCAG
rnacentral:rRNA from 1 species